AACCCCCCUCGUCUUUGACGCUUUCUAAAAGAGUUAUUGACGGAUUCUGAGUGUUGGCGUGUCAACGCCUCACUUUAAAUAUAUCAGCACUUUUGGAUGGUUACAUGUUAGUUCAAAAGACGUACUUGAUGUCGUAUUUAUACAAUUCAUCGAGAUGGUCUUUGGUCGUAUCGACUAUCCGCUAAUAUGACGACUUGAAGAAUAGCUUCCUAACCCCAUUGAAUUUACC
rnacentral:misc_RNA from 1 species